rnacentral:rRNA from 1 species
GACGGACGCUGGCGGCGUGCUUAACACAUGCAAGUCGAACGGAAAGGCCCUAGUUUUCUGGGGUACUCGAGUGGCGAACGGGUGAGUAACACGUGGGUGACCUGCCCUGCACUUUGGGAUAACUUCGGGAAACUGGGUCUAAUACCGGAUAGGAGCUCCUUCUACAUUGUGCGGGGUGAAGAGUUUCGGCGGUUGGGGAUGGCCUCGCGGCUUAUCAGCUUGUUGGUGGGGUAGUGGCCUACCAAGGCGUUGACGGGUAGCCGGCCUGAGAGGGUGGACGGCCACAUUGGGACUGAGACACGGCCCAGACUCCUACGGGAGGCAGCAGUGGGGAAUAUUGCACAAUGGGCGGAAGCCUGAUGCAGCAACGCCGCGUGGGGGAUGACGGCCUUCGGGUUGUAAACCGCUUUCGCCAGGGACGAAGCGUGUGUGACGGUAACGGGAAAAGAAGCACCGGCUAACUACGUG